rnacentral:rRNA from 1 species
CCUACGGGUGGCAGCAGUGGGGAAUAUUGCACAAUGGGGGAAACCCUGAUGCAGCGACGCCGCGUGAAGGAAGAAGUAUUUCGGUAUGUAAACUUCUAUCAGCAGGGAAGAAAAUGACGGUACCUGACUAAGAAGCCCCGGCUAACUACGUGCCAGCAGCCGCGGUAAUACGUAGGGGGCAAGCGUUAUCCGGAUUUACUGGGUGUAAAGGGAGCGCAGGCGGUUUAGCAAGUCAGAAGUGAAAGCCCGGGGCUCAACUCCGGGACUGCUUUUGAAACUGUUGAACUAGAGUGCAGGAGAGGUAAGUGGAAUUCCUAGUGUAGCGGUGAAAUGCGUAGAUAUUAGGAGGAACACCAGUGGCGAAGGCGGCUUACUGGACUGUAAAUGACGCUGAGGCUCGAAAGCGUGGGGAGCAAACAGGAUUAGAUACCCUAGUAGUC